UUGAACGCUGGCGGAAUGCUUUACACAUGCAAGUCGAGCGGCAGCGCGGGGGCAACCCUGGCGGCGAGCGGCGAACGGGUGAGUAACAUAUCGGAACGUACCCAGACGUGGGGGAUAACACAUCGAAAGAUGUGCUAAUACCGCAUACGACCUGAGGGUGAAAGGGGGGGAUCGCAAGACCUCUCGCGUUUGGAGCGGCCGAUAUCGGAUUAGCUAGUUGGUGGGGUAAAGGCUCACCAAGGCGACGAUCCGUAGCUGGUCUGAGAGGACGACCAGCCACACUGGAACUGAGACACGGUCCAGACUCCUACGGGAGGCAGCAGUGGGGAAUUUUGGACAAUGGGGGCAACCCUGAUCCAGCCAUUCCGCGUGAGUGAAGAAGGCCUUCGGGUUGUAAAGCUCUUUCGGCCGGGAAGAAAUCGCAUCUCCUAAUACGGGGUGUGGAUGACGGUACCGGAAGAAGAAGCACCGGCUAACUACGU
rnacentral:rRNA from 1 species